rnacentral:rRNA from 1 species
AAGUCGUAACAAGGUCUCCGUAGGUGAACCUGCGGAGGGAUCAUUACAGAGUUCUCGCCCUAACGGGUAGAUCUCCCACCCACUGUUAUCGUUACCGUCGUUGCUUUGGCGGGCCGCCAGGCCCGCCGAAGGCCCUAUAAACUCUGAAUGUUAGUGUCGUCUGAGUACUAUACAAUAGUUAAAACUUUCAACAACGGAUCUCUUGGUUCUGGCAUCGAUGAAGAACGCAGCGAAAUGCGAUAAGUAAUGCGAAUUGCAGAAUUCAGUGAGUCAUCGAAUCUUUGAACGCACAUUGCGCCCUGUAGUAUUCCGCAGGGCAUGCCUGUUCGAGCGUCAUUUCAACCCUCAAGCUCUGCUUGGUGUUGGGCCAAGCCCCCGCGGCCGGCCCCAAAGCCAGUGGCGGUGCCGUCCGGCUCUAAGCGUAGUACAUCUCUCGCUCUAGAGCCUCGCGGUUACCUGCCAGAACCCACACUCUUAUGGUUGACCUCGAAUCAGGUAGGGAUACCCGCUGAACUUAAGCAUAUCAAUAAGCGGAGGAAAAGAAACCAACAGGGAUUGCCUCAGUAACGGCGAGUGAAGCGGCAACAGCUCAAAUUUGAAAUCUGGCCCUCUCAGGGUCCGAGUUGUAAUUUGGAGAAGAUGCUUCGGGUGUGGCCCCGGUCUAAGUUCCUUGGAACAGGACGUCACAGAGGGUGAGAAUCCCGUACGUGACCGGUGGCCUCCCCCAUGUGAAGCUCUUUCGACGAGUCGAGUUGUUUGGGAAUGCAGCUCAAAAUGGGUGGUAAAUUUCAUCUAAAGCUAAAUAUUGGCCAGAGACCGAUAGCGCACAAGUAGAGUGAUCGAAAGAUGAAAAGCACUUUGGAAAGAGAGUUAAACAGUACGUGAAAUUGUUGAAAGGGAAGCGCUUGCAACCAGACUUGCGCGCGGCCGAUCAUCUGGUGUUCUCACCGGUGCACUCGGUCGCGCUCAGGCCAGCAUCGGUUUAGGUGGUUGGAUAAAGGCCUCGGGAAUGUGGCUCUCUUCGGGGAGUGUUAUAGCCCGAGGUGCAAUGCAGCCCACCUGGACCGAGGACCGCGCUUCGGCUAGGAUGCUGGCGUAAUGGUUGUAAGCGACC